rnacentral:rRNA from 1 species
CUAUACAUGACUCUGCGCAUAUCAAUAAGCGGAGGAAAAGAAACUAACAAGGAUUCCCUUAGUAACGGCGAGUGAAGCGGGAAGAGCUCAAAUUUGAAAUCUUAAAGGGUUUCCCUUUACGAAUUGUAGUUUAAAGAAGUGUUUUCUGUUGAGGUUUUGGUAAAAGUUCUUUGGAAUAGGACAUCAUAGAGGGUGAGAAUCCCGUAUUUGACCAUUACUUUCAACUUUGUGAUACACUUUCAAAGAGUCGGAUUGUUUGGGAAUGCAGUCCAAAAUGGGUGGCUAAAUUUCAUCUAAAGCUAAAUAUUGGCGAGAGACCGAUAGCGAACAAGUACCGUGAGGGAAAGAUGAAAAGAACUUUGAAAAGAGAGUUAAACAGUACGUGAAAUUGUCAAAAGGGAAGCGUUUGACACCAGUGUUGUUUUUCUGAAAAUCAAUUAAAGAACUGUUUAUGCUAAGUUGUUUAGACUUUAUCAGCUAACUGUUUAGCUUUGAGCUUUUCUUUAAUGCACUUUUCAGUUAACAAGUCAACAUCAAUUUCUUUUGCUGUAAAAAAGCUUGAGGAAGGUGGCUUGAGAUUCGUCUUAAGUGUUUAUAGCCUCUUGCCUAUGCAGUCGGAGAGAUUGAGGUCUGCAGCGUAGAUCCUUCGGGGCUAAAUGCAUUUGUGCUAAGUUAUAGCAUUUUAUAGACAACUUGUUGACUAUGAUUUGUCUUGUAGCUUACUCGCUUAUGUUAUUUUACCUACGCUUAGGAUGUUGACAGCAGUAUAGACUG